GACUCUGUAGCUCAGUUUGGUUAGAGUGCUUGCUUGACAUGCAAGAGGUCGCUGGUUCAAGUCCAGCCAGAGUCACCA
rnacentral:tRNA from 4 species